rnacentral:rRNA from 1 species
AAUCUUCCGCAAUGGACGAAAGUCUGACGGAGCAACGCCGCGUGAGCGAAGAAGGCCGUCGGGUCGUAAAGCUCUGUCCUAAGGGAAGAUAAUGACGGUACCUUAGGAGGAAGCCCCGGCUAACUACGUGCCUGCAGCCGCGGUAAUACGUAGGGGGCAAGCGUUAUCCGGAAUCAUUGGGCGUAAAGGGUGCGUAGGCGGCCCUAUAGGUCAGAGGUCAAAGGCUACGGCUCAACCGUAGUAAGCCUUUGAAACUGUAGGGCUUGAGUGCAGGAGAGGAGAGUGGAAUUCCUAGUGUAGCGGUGAAAUGCGUAGAUAUUAGGAGGAACACCAGUGGCGAAGGCGACUCUCUGGACUGCAACUGACGCUGAGGCACGAAAGCGUGGGGAGCGAACAGG